rnacentral:lncRNA from 1 species
UGUUGAUCUCGAUAGCAGUAAUAUAUAUAACUAACUCCCACGUCUCGUCAUAACUGCACGCUUUUCCACUCCCUUCAAGGUAACUUCUCUCUUCUUUAUGCCAUUUACUUUUUCUUUACAGAGUUUGUUUGUUUUUCUUUAAUUUGGCGACAAUCUUAUCUCCAAUUUUCCGAAAAUUUCUCUACAAAAUUUCUAUUUUCUAUUUCUCGAUUUUUUUCAAUGGAUCAUCUGAUGUGCCCAUCAUUUCAAUCGUUUCUCCAAGCGAGCUAGACCGGCUCUGGCGAGUUCACGACAUCCCAACUGCAAUUGAGCUUGUGCUUCCCGAGAGAGGAGAGACGCCAAAGUUUGUGCAUCUGGGUUACUGUGUAGCUUACACGCCGUUUUUUGAUGUAUGUGGGCUAUAAUUCCCGAUUCCGCCAUGCUUCUUGACGAUUCUGGCGGAUCUGAAGCUUGCGUUUUCCCAUAUAAACCCUAAUUGUGUCUGUCACGUUCUCGCGUUAUUGGUUAGAGCUGCAAGAGGCGAGAAUCCCUUUUAGGAUUGACGAGCUUCACAAGGUCUGCUCUAUUAAGAGCAACUCGUCUUUCCCAGGUUCCUUCUACUUAUCUUCGGGAAAGGGCCGCAGUGUAUUCUAGGAUAUUCCGGUUCGGGAUGAUCGGUGGAAGUAGAAGUAUCUCUUCUUCAAAAUCAACGCCGACUCAGUUGGGUCCUUCGAUUUUGACCGCCUGCCUUCUAUUUGGUCUUCUAAAGUUGGUUAGCAUAGGAGUCGGAUGCGUUGAGUUCUGCUCUGACUCGAUUGCUCGAUACUAAUCAUAUAUUUGUUUUUUCUUUGCUGCAGCUGUAACGUCUAAAGUUGCUAAGGAAGAAACCUUAUUGGAUACUUUACGACUGGGAGAUAUUCAGUGGCAUACUUUCAAGAGCGAAUCAAGAGUGCGCAUCGAGGUGCGAUCGUUGCUCCUCCGAAACCUCUGAAUCCCAUCAUCGAUCCUGUGAACCUGAUAACUAAAAAAUUUUAUGUUCUUAGAGGGUUAUCAAUCCGUUAGCUGUUGUAGCAUAAAGGGUAUCAAAUCCAUAUGUGUGGUAGGUAGGCACUAGUUUAUGUGACAAGUCUUUCAGUCAAGUGAAAUGAAGGGAGUUUUGGUGGUGAACAAAGUAACAAAGAAGCAUAAAACAUAAAACAAGCAAAGCAAUGAUGAUUAAUAAACUAAACAAGCAAGCAAACAAACAAGAUGAUGAUUAAGCAAAUGAUAAAAGAUAAACCUCUAGAUGUGAUCAUUGAUAAGGGUGCUUUAGAUAUAGAUUCAUGAUGCUACGAACAUAAUGCAAUAGUUGUUACUCUUUAGUCUAGACUUCAAAAGCAGAUUAAUUCAUUCCCAUGACAAUAAUCCUUUUGCAAACCACUUCAUCAAGAUUAAUUUACCUUAAGCAAGAUCAAGCAAUCAACAAGCAUAAAGUUUCAAGUCUAAUGAUGAC